UGAUGAGAAGUCUCCGGAAUCGCUGUACCACGUUGAUGAUUCCCUUGAACCCUUGUAUACCUGAUGACUGCGGCUGCAUAGAAGCAGACACUAGUUUGUC
ensembl:snoRNA